rnacentral:rRNA from 1 species
GUGGGGAAUAUUGGACAAUGGGCGAAAGCCUGAUCCAGCGACGCCGCGUGGGUGAAGAAGGCCUGCGGGUUGUAAAGCCCUUUCGGUGGGGAAGAAAAGCCUCGACCUAAUACGUCGGGGUCUUGACGUAACCCAUAGAAGAAGCACCGGCUAACUCUGUGCCAGCAGCCGCGGUAAUACAGAGGGUGCGAGCGUUAAUCGGAAUUACUGGGCGUAAAGCGCGCGUAGGCGGCUUUGCAAGUCGGGUGUGAAAUCCCCAGGCUUAACCUGGGAACUGCACCCGAGACUGCAUUGCUAGAGUAUGGGAGAGGGAAGUGGAAUUUCAGGUGUAGCGGUGAAAUGCGUAGAUAUCUGAAGGAACAUCAGUGGCGAAAGCGACUUCCUGGACCAAUACUGACGCUCAUGUGCGAAAGCGUGGGGAGCAAACAGG